CCUCGAAUUACAUCUCCUGUACAACUUUUAGCAUUAAAAAAGUAGCCUCUUUCAGUUUUCUUCUACUCUCUUCUAUGUUCCUAUUGAACAUGCCUGUCGUUGUUGACUUCUAGUGGAUCCUUUUUUACUGAAACGUGAUCUAUGUAGUGUAGUUGCGGAUUAUAAAGUCAAAGCUGGUUGCUGUAGUAGUUGAUUGGUACAAUGAGUAAUCAAUUUCCUCUAAUUGAGUCUGUAAUGCAUGGCAUGGUGUUGGUAUGUUUGUCCGGCAGAUCAAAAUUGGGAAGUGGCUUGUUAGUCUGGUAAAAGUAAAAUCAAACAUGGAAAAUGUGAUGUAAAAUCUUGUCGUUUUAACACGUAAAUGUCUUCUGAGCAGGGUGCACAUUCUCUUGUGGUGAUCUUCUAUGCUUUGUUGAAAUACCGUAGGAUCUGCAUCAGGUUACUGAAUUACUGACGCAUAAUCUAUUGCUGGUUCUGUGAGCCUUUGACGCAUAAUCUAUAUUAUUGUCUGAAUCUAAAUAAUAUAGUGCACUUCGCAACACUGUCUCACCUUAGGUUCACAUCUAACAUAGGUGGUCAACUGUAUUAGCAUGGUAUUUUACAUCAUUUAUUCCUGGUGGCAAGAAUGUACAAUCUACUAUUAAUACUAAAUCUCUCAUAUUGUCCGUUAUGAGAUUAGAUAGCAUUAUAUGGCUUUUGUACAGUUGCCUUUCAUAGUUUGAUGCAGUCUCACGAGUUAAAAAGCAAUACUUAGGAUGUGAUUGAAGAUGCAACUGUGAAAGAUUACGAACAAUUGGCCUUCGUUAACAGGUAACAAUGUAAAAGUAGAUAUUUUCAAUUUGAAGAUAAAAAAGCUGGUCGAAUAGUUUUUUUUUUUACUUUUGUAGUGAUAGACACAAGCAGCAUAUGUCAAAAUUUGUUACACCGAAGGUUUGCAUGAUGAUUGGCACUUGCAGACAAUAUUACUGACUUAAGCUUGGUAAGAAUGUUGCCUGCAGUGCUGCCCUUGUACUAUACUUCUAACAUGAUGCCUCUCAAUAGCACUAAUAAAAUUAUGCACUUUCACUGUGAGCAUAAGUGGCCUCCAAAUCUGGCAUAAAUUUUAUGGUUUUUUGCAUGAUCAUAAGAACAUGGCUCAAGCUGUAUGUAUGCAAUUUUCUUCUACUUUUUGGUAUGUUCAUAUUGGAUCUCACAUAGUUCAGUUCUUUAUUUGAUAAUGGAAGUGAAAUGCAUGAACUUGGCAUAUGUUUCUAUGCACACGUUCCUUUCAUUAGCCUUGUUGAUUAGCAUAUGAUUUUAACAUUGUUUUGUCAAAGACUUUAUGUAGAACCAGAUGAAGGAAAAUUACAAGGCCCUACAGAGAUUGAUGAUUCAUUACCAAAAAUCCUCCUGAAUCUACUAGUCAAAUUAAAAUGAUUUUCAAUCGCAGAAUGCUCAUGCUGAAACUAGCAAUGCAACCAAGCAAAGUAGCCUUGAACAAAGUGUGCAGCUUCACGAAGUCACUAAGCAGGUAAAAAACAAUCUAAGCCAGCCCCUCCGAACACAGACACAGAACAUUGCUAGUCCAACACAACCACGAAAUAUUGGUUAGAGGAUUCAGAAAAGGAGUGCAUUGCACGAGCCAGGAGCAACUACAGAUGAAUAAUCUUCAAAUGAACAAAUAUUAUAGAUGAUGUAUAGAUUUUAGCUUCAAAGGAGUACUUAGUUCUACUUUGUAGGGUUUUCGUAAUUAUUUGUAUCUUCUGUAUGAAUAUCUCAUUUGUGAGCUCCACACUUUCAGUGGAGGUAUUUGUUCCUAUUAAUUUAUCCACUUUAUGCUAA